rnacentral:rRNA from 1 species
UAUGAUUCUAGAACCUUCGGUUGGAGUGGCGGACGGGUGGAGUAACAACGUGGUACGACUGCCCAGAAGUGGGGGAUAACAUUUGGAAACAAGUGCUAAUACCGCAUAACAACUUAGAUCACAUGAUCUUUGUUUAAAAGAUGGUUUUGCUAUCUCUUCUGGAUGGACCCGCGGCGUAUUAGCUAGUUGGUGAGGUAAUAGCUCACCAAGGCGAUGAUACGUAGCCGACCUGAGAGGGUAAUCGGCCACAUUGGGACUGAGACACGGCCCAAACUCC